AGAGUUUGAUCCUGGCUCAGAAUCAACGCUGGCGGCGUGCCUCAGACAUGCAAGUCGAACGAUUAAGACUUCCUUCGGGAAGUGCAUAAAGUGGCGCACGGGUGAGUAACACGUAAGUAAUCUACCUUUGAGUGGGGAAUAACCCGGGGAAACCCGAGCUAAUACCGCAUAAUGCAGCGGCAUCGCGAGAUGACAGUUGUUAAAGGAGCAAUCCGCUUAAAGAGGAGCUUGCGGCAGAUUAGCUAGUUGGUAAGGUAAUGGCUUACCAAGGCUACGAUCUGUAUCCGGUCUAAGAGGACGGUCGGACACACUGACACUGAAUAACGGGUCAGACUCCUACGGGAGGCAGCAGUCGGGAAUUUUGGGCAAUGGGCGAAAGCCUGACCCAGCAACGCCGCGUGAAGGAUGAAGUAUUUCGGUAUGUAAACUUCGAAAGAAUAGGAAGAAUAAAUGACCGGACUAUUAUAAGUCCCU
rnacentral:rRNA from 1 species